GAUGAACGCUAGCGGCAGGCCUAACACAUGCAAGUCGAGGGGUAACAGGAGAGCUUGCUCUCGCUGACGACCGGCGCACGGGUGCGUAACGCGUAUACAAUUUACCUUAUACUGGAGGAUAGCCCGGAGAAAUCCGGAUUAAUACUCCAUAACAUUACAGAAUCGCAUGAUUCCAUAAUUAAAGUUUCGGCGGUAUAAGAUGAGUAUGCGUCCUAUUAGUUAGUUGGUAAGGUAACGGCUUACCAAGACAGCGAUAGGUAGGGGGCCGUGAGAGGGUUAGUCCCCACCACUGGUACUGAGACACGGACCAGACUCCUACGGGAGGCGAGCAGUGAGGAA
rnacentral:rRNA from 1 species